rnacentral:misc_RNA from 1 species
UUACGUUGACAACAAUGGACAGGAGUUUUCUGGCCGAAGUGCAUAUAUAUGUUACAGAAAGGAGAAAGGAGGGUUUAAUAAAUCAACAAAGAAGACUUCUGGUGGCAAAAGCAAGGCAGCUUCAAAGAAGAAAUAGAACCUCUGCAGAAACGAAUAUGUGCUGUGUGUACUUGUCAUGCUCAUGUUAAUAUGUUCUGGAACAGAAAUUUACUAUCAACCAAGUAUUGGUUUUCUCUGAUGAACAGAUAAUCGAAAAAGCUCUAUUCUUGAUGUUUG